AUUGCCCUAGUAACGGCGAGUGAAGCGGCAACAGCUCAAAUUUGAAAUCUGGCUCUUUCAGGGUCCGAGUUGUAAUUUGCAGAGGGCGCUUUGGCGUUGGCAGCGGUCCAAGUUCUUUGGAACAGGACGUCACAGAGGGUGAGAAUCCCGUACGUGGUCGCUAACCUUCGCCGUGUAAAGCCCCUUCGACGAGUCGAGUUGUUUGGGAAUGCAGCUCUAAAUGGGAGGUAAAUUUCUUCUAAAGCUAAAUACUGGCCAGAGACCGAUAGCGCACAAGUAGAGUGAUCGAAAGAUGAAAAGCACUUUGGAAAGAGAGUCAAAUAGCACGUGAAAUUGUUGAAAGGGAAGCGCUUGCAGCCAGACUUGCCUGUAGUUGCUUAUCCGGACUUUUGUCCGGUGCACUCUUCUGCAGGCAGGCCAGCAUCAGUUUGGGCGGUUGGAUAAAGGUCUCUAUCACGUACCUCCCUUCGGGGUUGGCCUUAUAGGGGAGACGUCAUGCAACCAGCCUGGACUGAGGUCCGCGCAUCUGCUAGGAUGCUGGCGUAAUGGCUGUAAGCGGCCCGUCUUGAAACACGGACCAAGGAGUCUAACAUCUAUGCGAGUGUUUGGGUGUCAAGCCCAGACGCGUAAUGAAAGUGAACGGAGGUGGGAACCUUUUAGGUGCACCAUCGACCGAUCCUGAUGUCUUCGGAUGGAUUUGAGUAAGAGCAUGGCUGUUGGGACCCGAAAGAUGGUGAACUAUGCUUGAAUAGGGUGAAGCCAGAGGAAACUCUGGUGGAGGCUCGCAGCGGUUCUGACGUGCAAAUCGAUCGUCAAAUUUGGGCAUAGGGGCGAAAGACUAAUCG
rnacentral:rRNA from 1 species